UGCCCCAGUUUCUAACAGGAACCUUUGG
rnacentral:piRNA from 1 species